rnacentral:rRNA from 1 species
AACGUAGGUGGCGAGCGUUAUCCGGAUUUACUGGGCGUAAAGCGUGUGCAGGCGGGGUAUCAAGUGGUGUAUGAAAUCGCUCGGCUUAACCGGGCGCGGUUAUGCCAGACUGAUACUCUGGAGUGCGGGAGAGGGGCGUGGAAUUCCGGGUGUAGUGGUGAAAUGCGUAGAGAUCCGGAGGAACCCCAGAGGCGAAGGCGGCGCCCUGGCCCGACACUGACGCUGAGGCGCGAAAGCUAGGGUAGCAAACGGG